GAGUUUGAUCCAUGGCUCAGGACGAACGCUGGCGGCGUGCCUAAUACAUGCAAGUCGAGCGAAUCGAUGGGAGCUUGCUCCCUGAGAUUAGCGGCGGACGGGUGAGUAACACGUGGGCAACCUGCCUAUAAGACUGGGAUAACUUCGGGAAACCGGAGCUAAUACCGGAUACGUUCUUUUCUCGCAUGAGAGAAGAUGGAAAGACGGUUUCGGCUGUCACUUAUAGAUGGGCCCGCGGCGCAUUAGCUAGUUGGUGAGGUAAUGGCUCACCAAGGCGACGAUGCGUAGCCGACCUGAGAGGGUGAUCGGCCACACUGGGACUGAGACACGGCCCAGACUCCUACGGGAGGCAGCAGUAGGGAAUCUUCCGCAAUGGACGAAAGUCUGACGGAGCAACGCCGCGUGAACGAAGAAGGCCUUCGGGUCGUAAAGUUCUGUUGUUAGGGAAGA
rnacentral:rRNA from 2 species